UGGGGAAUUUUGGACAAUGGGGGAAACCCUGAUCAAGCCAUCCCGCGUGUGCGAUGAAGGCCUUCGGGUUGUAAAGCACUUUUGGCAGGAAAGAAAAGUCAUGGGUUAAUACCCCGUGAAACUGACGGUACCUGCAGAAUAAGAACCGGCUAACUACGUGCCAGCAGCCGCGGUAAUACGUAGGGUGCAAGCGUUAAUCGGAAUUACUGGGCGUAAAGCGUGCGCAGGCGGUUCGGAAAGCAAGAUGUGAAAUCCCAGAGCUCAACGUUGGAACUGCAUUUUUAACUACCGGGCUAGAGUGGGGCAGAGGGGGGUGGAAUUCCGCGUGUAGCAGUGAAAUGCGUAGAUAUGCGGAGGAACACCGAUGGCGAAGGCAGCCUCCUGGGAUAACACUGACGCUCAUGCACGAAAGCGUGGGGAGCAAACAGG
rnacentral:rRNA from 1 species